GACGAACGCUGGCGGCGUGCUUAACACAUGCAAGUCGAACGGAAAGGCUCCAGCUUUCUGGGGUACACGAGUGGCGAACGGGUGAGUAACACGUGGGUGACCUGCCCUGCACUUCGGGAUAAGCCUGGGAAACUGGGGCUAAUACCGGAUAGGACCAUGAGGUGGAUACUGUGGUUGAAAGUUUUUUCGGUGUGGGAUGGGCGCGCGGCCUAUCUGCUUGUUAGUGGGGUAUUGGUAUACCAAGGCAGUGACGGGUAUCCGGCCUGAGAAGGUGGACGGCCACCUUGGGACUAAGGCACGGCCCAGUCUGCUACGUGAGGCAGUAGUCGGGAAUCUUGCGCAAUGGGCGGAAGUCUGAUGCAGCGACGCUGCGUGCGGGAUGACGGCCUUCGGGUUGUAAACUCCUUUCACCUUCGACGAAGCGUUUUUGACGGUAGCUGGAGAAGAAGCACCGGCUAACUACGUG
rnacentral:rRNA from 1 species